AUGCCAAAGAAAGGCAAUGCCAAAGAAUGCUCAAAUUACCGCACAGUUGCACUCAUCUCACAUGCUAGUAAAGUAAUACUCAAAAUUCUCCAAGCCAGGCUUCAGCAAUACGUGAACCGUGAACUUCCAGGUGUUCAAGCUGGUUUUAGAAAAGGCAGAGGAACCAGAGAUGAAAUUGCCAAUAUCUGCUGGAUCAUUGAAAAAGCAAGAGAGUUCCAGAAAAACAUCUAUUUCUGCUUUAUUGGCUGUGCCAAAGCCUUUGACUAUGUGGAUCACAAUAAACUGUGGAAAAUUCUGAAAGAGACGGGAAUACCAGACCACCUGACCUGCCUCUGGAGAAACCUAUAUGCAGGUCAGGAAGCAACAGUUAGAACUGAACAUGGAACAACAGACUGGUUCCAAAUAGGAAAAGGAGUAUGUCAAGGCUGUAUACUGCCACCCUGCUUAUUUAACUUAUACACAGAGUACAUCAUGAGAAACACUGGGCUGGAAGAAGCACAAGCUGGAAUCAAGAUUGCCUGGAGAAAUAUCAAUAACAUCAGGUAUGCAGAUGACACCACCCUUAUGGCAGAAAGUGAAGAGGAGCUAAAAAGCCUCUUGAUGAAAGUGAAAGAGGAGAUUGAAAAAGUUGGCUUAAAGCUCAACAUUCAGAAAACGAAGAUCAUGGCAUCUGGUUCCAUCACUUCAUGGGAAAUAGAUGGGGAAACACUGGAAAUAGUGUCAGACUUUAUUUUGGGGGGCUCCAAAUUCACUGCAGAUGGUGUUUGCAGCCAUGAAAUUAAAAUACACUUACUCCUUGGAAGGAAAGUUAUGACCAACCUAGAUAGUAUAUUAAAAAGCAGGGACAUUACACUGCCUACAAAGGUCCAUCUAGUGAAGGCUAUGGUUUUUCCAGUGGUCAUGUAUGGAUGUGAGAGUUGGACCAUAAAGAAAGCUGAGCAUCAAAGAACUGAUGCUUUUGAAGUGUGGUGUUGGAGAAGACUCUUGAGAGUUCCUUGGAUUGCAAGGAGGUCCAACCAGUCCAUCCUAAAAGAGAUCAGUCCUGGGUUUUCAUUGGAAGGACUGAUGCUGAAGCUUAAACUCCAAUACUUUGGCCACCUCUUGUGA
rnacentral:lncRNA from 1 species